CUCUGGGUUCUCUUCCAGCUCUGAGGAUCUGUGAGGGAUGUUGCCACUGAGUUGGGAAAAGCUCAACCCUAACUGUUGCAUGUGUUGGAAUCUCCUCUGUACUCCCAGUCUGGGCCCUGUGGGGACCCUGCCUACUCAGAAACAUGGAGACCAUCCCCUGGUAACCAGUUAGGAGGAGAGAGGAUGCUUUAUAAAGGAAUCAUCGAGUCCGUAGCCUUUGAGACACGCUUCUUCUAUUCCGUGAUGCCUUUGAGAUGCACCAUGUCAUUGCCUGUAUCAGUAGUUUGUUCCUUGUGUUGCUAAGUGGCAUUCCACUGCAUGGGCGCGCCGUGGUUCAUCUAUUCCCCUGAUGAAAGACAUGUGUACUGUUUCAAGGUGGGUUUUUGUUUUUGUUUUUGGCCUUUGUGAAUAGAGCUGCUAUAAACAUUCAUGUACAGGUUUUUUUGUGAACAAAAGUUUUUUAUUUCUUCAGGGCAAAUACCUAGGCGUGAGCUGUAUCCUAUGGUAAGUGUGUGUUUAGCUUCAUAAGAAAUUGCCAAAUUCUUUUCCAGAGUGGUUUUACAAUUUUGCAUUCUCAUCAGCAAUGGAUAUCCUUUCUUUUUUACUUUUAUUUGAAAACAAAGUCAUCUUCCCGCCAAGGUGAAGGGUAGGGACAUAAGGAACUGAAAUAAAAGCUAAGUCCAGAAAUGAAAUACAGAGUGAUUGUGAGCCAUUUGUGGCUUUCCCAAAAUACCAGGUGUUCUUAAGGCUGAAAGCACCUCAAGUUGAAGCUCCAGGUGGACACAGUGGGAUGUGAACUUUGGGAGAAGAGAUAGGGCAGGUCCCUGGAGAACUGGGUCUUAGGGCUCUGCUGUGUGCCUGAGGGCAGGUUACUGUGCUGCUCCAAACCUCAAGUGUUUACUGGGAUCAACUCUUGCAGGUUUGAUAAGGUCACAAUUUGUGGUGUUUCAAUUGUUACGUGAUCCAGGCUUUGUGGUGAACAUCAGAAGAAGCUCUAAAUAAAGGUUUAGGAUGCACACAGCCUGCUUCCAUGCCAUGUGGAAGCAAGAACUCCUCCAGAAAUAUUGAGGCAAAGAUACUUUGUAAACAUGCAAAAAUCCAAAAAUGCUUUGCUUAACAACAGAGAAGUUUCCAGUAGUGUGGGAACUGUUCUCAGAUGUGUGGGGCCAGGAACAGAUCUGAUGCAGAGGAUACAGUUCCAUUCUGGAGAAAGUGGCUGAAUACGUUUGUGGUUGUGUCUCUGAACUUUCUCUCUGGACCAUUUCUAUGCCUUCUGCCCCUCCUCGUCUCCCUGGGAUCUUCAGGAUCCCAACUUCCACUCCGCAACUAAACAACGAAUUCUCCAGAGCAUAAGGUUGAGAGCUUGGGCUGUGAAUCAGGAAGACCUGGUUUAAAGCUGAGCCACCUUCUCGCUGGGGUAACGACGGAUCAAUUACUCAACCUCACUGGACCUCACAUCUCCCAUUUGUAAAUGGGGGUAAUAAGAAUGCCUCCGUCAGCAGCCUAUUCUGAGGACUAAAUGAGGCAAUGCCUGCACAGCCUUUACUGUAGGUCUGGUACACGGUAUGUUUGCAGGAAAAAUUAGUUAUGUUUGUAUGUUGUUGGGUUAUUUUUUUUUCUCUUUUUUAAAAAAUUUUUUUUCUCUUUUGAAAAAAUCAUCAAAGAAGAACAUUGGCUCUCAGAUCUCUAAGAUCUCUCCCAGCUCUUAUGUUACACGUAACAGAGGGGGGCCUACUUCAUGCAUUCUGGAAAUUGAAAGCUAUGCCACAUCAGUUUUCUGGAAACAAGGGCUACCAGGAAAGAAGGGUCAGUUCGGGCCCCAUUUUCGCCACUGAACCCAAACUGACCUCUGCAUCUGUUUUGCUGAUUGUUGGAGACCGGGUUCUAGAGCUCCCCAUCACUGAUAGAAGAAUCACUCCUGAAAGGUGAAAGGUCCGGGGCCAGGGCUUCCGAAAGGCCUGAACAACAGAGGAAGGGAGGCUCUGUGUUCCUCUCCCACCUGCACAGAUCAGUCAGUCACUCUGUUCUACAGGGACUCUCUGUAACUCAUGAGAGGGACUCUGGAGGGAGACCCCUCUGUAACUCUCUGUAACUCUUUGAGGGACUCUGAAAACUCAUGUAUGAAACUGCAGAAGUCUGCUUCUAGACUUUGCCUUGGCCAUGUGAGGUAAAGGGCCCUUCAACCCCUGCCCCCUACCUUGUAAAUGUGCAAAUGGACUCACAUUUGAACCUCAACAGGUUCCUGAAAAUCG
rnacentral:lncRNA from 10 species